UUGACCUUACCAAACAGGACAUAAAUGUUUGAUAAUCCAAAAGACAAGUUUUGGAAGACCAAGAUAGCACAAAAUUAUAAUUGAUAGUACAGACACGUUUGGCCCCAACUUAAAAGUUAGAUUUUUCUGACUUCUUAGGGUAAUACCUCACGAGUUUUUUAUGCGAUGAUUAAGUAUAGGCUCAUUAGAUUUCUAUAAUGGAAGAAACUUUUCUUUUCUUGAAUCAGACACCUUUAGCUUGCCCAUCAGUGGCCGUCAUUAUAUAGUUCGAAGAGCACAGGGCUUGAUCUGGACUAGAUGUGAUAGAUCAGGCCAGAAUUAAUUUUGCAGUGUGAUUUAAACUUAAAUUUAAAAUUAACAGUUAAGCUACUCAAACAGGGACAGUUGACAGGAUUUAAAAACAGGCGCCAAGUGUUUGGCUCUUUCUUUCAACUUCCUAAUGAAUAGUUAUCGCGUGUCCCCUGUUUUUAAAUCCUGUCAAAUUCCCUAUUUGUGUAGCAAAGUCCAUUAAGAGAGACAAUUUCUUCCUCUGGAACAUGAAUCUUCUUAAAACUCCGACCCGUUUUCUUCUCCCACAAAUAGAUCAACUCCAGCUGUGAUAUAAUGUUGGUUGAUGGCCGAUGUAAAACGACACGAUUGCAUGCUCUUGGAUCAGUCGCCACUUUUAUAGUAUAAAUUCCAAUAUCUUCUUCGAAAUUCAGCACAGCUGAACAAAUGUAACAUGUAAAAAAUGAGUAGAAAUUUCACAAAAAGGGAAAUUUUUUGUUUUUGUUUAAAUUUAGCAAUAGAUGUAACAGAGCGAAAACUGCAACAAAUAACAAAUAGUUUUAUUUGCAAUACAUUUCAAGUUGCAACACCUCGAUAAUGGUUUUGAGAGUGAUGGAUUGUGAAUCGAACAGAAUAAUGAAAACGAUAUACAGAGCUAAUUCUAUACAAAGAAAAAUAAUUUGAGAGAAUUGCAGUAAUGUUGGAUUUACCUUUUGUCUGACCACUGCCAUAUACAGUUAUCUCCUCCUUUUGAUCAUGUGGUCGGAGCAAAUAAUUUAUGAAGUAUGCACCAAAGCAAUUUGCAGACACAAAAGUGUGUGGAAUUUUUGCUUCUUCUCCGGCCCUUCUGAUUUUCUUCUUUUUGUCAAGAACUGCUUGGAAUGGUGCAGUACACUGAUUCUAUCCUCUUAGCAGCCAAAUGGAAGAAAUCUCUGCAACGAUAAACUCGUUAUGAUUUAGGCCUUAAUCUCGUAUUUCUGAGAGCAACCAAAAUCAAGUUUAUGCCACCAGCAACCUUGAUGGCCUCUACGAUUUUGAGUUGAUCUAGAACUUGAGGAAAUGCCACUGCAGAGAUCACCUUAUCAACUUCUUUAAGCACAGAAACUAACUUGUCAUAAUACUAAUCUCCCUUCAAGCACAUUGCAACUUGGAAUUAAAUAUUAAGAACCCCACGUGUAUAAAAUUCGUGACUUGAAGUCAACAAGUUACUUACUUUGACAAUAACGGCGCCCAUUGACUCAAACUCAAUCGGCAAUUCUGUCUUGGAAGAGUUUGGCCU
rnacentral:sRNA from 1 species